rnacentral:tRNA from 1 species
GGGGUUGUGGCUCAGUGGUAGAGUGCUCACCUAGCAUGUGCGAGGUGCUGGGUUCAAUCCUCAGCACCA